rnacentral:rRNA from 1 species
GACGAACGCUGGCGGCGUGCUUAACACAUGCAAGUCGAACGGAAAGGCCCUGCUCUUGUGGGGUGCUCGAGUGGCGAACGGGUGAGUAACACGUGAGUAACCUGCCCUUGUCUUUGGGAUAACUUCUGGAAACUGGGGCUAAUACCGGAUAGGAGCUCCUGCUGCAUGGUGGGGGUUGGAAAGUUUCGGCGGUUGGGGAUGGUCUCGCGGCUUAUCAGCUUCUUGGUGGGGUUGUGGCUUACCAAGGCUUUGACGGGUAGCCGGCCUGAGAGGGUGACCGGCCACAUGGGGACUGAGAUACGGCCCAGACUCCUACGGGAGGCAGCAGUGGGGAAUAUUGCACAAUGGGCGGAAGCCUGAUGCAGCAACGCCGCGUGCGGGAUGACGGCCUUCGGGUUGUAAACCGCUUUCGCCUGUGACGAAGCGUGAGUGACGGUAAUGGGUAAAGAAGCACCGGCUAACUACGUG